UGGGGAAUUUUGGACAAUGGGCGAAAGCCUGAUCCAGCAAUGCCGCGUGUGUGAAGAAGGCCUUCGGGUUGUAAAGCACUUUUGUCCGGAAAGAAAUCCUUGGCUCUAAUACAGUCGGGGGAUGACGGUACCGGAAGAAUAAGCACCGGCUAACUACGUGCCAGCAGCCGCGGUAAUACGUAGGGUGCAAGCGUUAAUCGGAAUUACUGGGCGUAAAGCGUGCGCAGGCGGUUUGCUAAGACCGAUGUGAAAUCCCCGGGCUCAACCUGGGAACUGCAUUGGUGACUGGCAGGCUAGAGUAUGGCAGAGGGGGGUAGAAUUCCACGUGUAGCAGUGAAAUGCGUAGAGAUGUGGAGGAAUACCGAUGGCGAAGGCAGCCCCCUGGGCCAAUACUGACGCUCAUGCACGAAAGCGUGGGGAGCAAACAGGAUUAGAUACCCUGGUAGUCCACGCCCUAAACGAUGUCAACUAGUUGUUGGGGAUUCAUUUCCUUAGUAACGUAGCUAACGCGUGAAGUUGACCGCCUGGGGAGUACGGUCGCAAGAUUAAAACUCAAAUGAAUUGAC
rnacentral:rRNA from 1 species